rnacentral:misc_RNA from 1 species
GAAAUGCGAUAAGUAAUGUGAAUUGCAGAAUUCCGUGAAUCAUCGAAUCUUUGAACGCACAUUGCGCCCCCUGGCAUUCCGGGGGGCAUGCCUGUCCGAGCGUCAUUUCUGCCCUCAAGCACGGCUUGUGUGUUGGGUGUGGUCCCCCCGGGGACCUGCCCGAAAGGCAGCGGCGACGUCCGUCUGGUCCUCGAGCGUAUGGGGCUCUGUCACUCGCUCGGGAAGGACCUGCGGGGGUUUGUCACCACCAUAUUUCACCACGGUUGACCUCGGAUCAGGUAGGAGUUACCCGCUGAACUUAAGC